rnacentral:lncRNA from 1 species
ACUUGGGAUGCGACGGUGACGCCACCGCCUCCCAUCCGCAGCGCCUGACCCCAGAACCUCCAGCCUUUCCAGGUCGGAAGCGACCUUUGACACCGCACCCCGUUACUUUCCAUCCGCAGAGCCUGCGCUGGGGCCGGUGAAGUGACCUGGCUCAGAUGACCCCGGGCGCUGGCGGCUAAGUCUGCGAGAAGGCUCCUGUCCUCCCGGGAGCGCGGCUGCGUGGGCGGCGCUGGGGCCGCAGCCGGGCCAGGUGCCACCUCUCCAGUCCGAGCGCCCAAGCCGCGGAAAUCCCUGCCCCGACUACCUGCCCUGGAGAAGGCACCGAAGCCUGGGAACUGGCUGCCCGGGAUUGCCCAGAAGUCAAGAGGGCCUUUUCUCAGAUUAAAAACCAAAAACACCCCAGUGAAGGAAGUCCCUUUUCCCUCUCUCUGCUUGCCGUCUGUCUCAGUGCCAGGACAGCAUCUCUGCAGGACAGAAGGACUCUGCUUGUAGAGUCAGAGGGCCCCGGCUCAGCACCACCACUGACACUCUGUGUCUCCAGGCAGCUUACCUCACCCCUUGUAGGGCUGCUGCAGGACCAGGUGACCUCACUGAUGGUAUUCCAGCCGCCUGUUCCACGCUGGCACCCAAGCACUUGAACAUGGCUGCAGGAAACAGAGUUCCCAGCACCAGGAGUGGUCUCAUUUGAGAUUCAUGCACACAAGUCUUAGGCAGGCACUGAGAUCUGCCAGGCCAGCUACACCUCUCUGGUAUGUUUUCUUCCCCAGUUUCUCGGUGACUCCUUCACACCGUCUUCUCCUUCUUCAAACCCCCACACUUCUCUCCUGUGCGCCCCCUCUCAGGUGAUGUGCUUGAUCCUUCACGAAGAAAGCGGAAGCAGUAAGACGGAACUCCAUCACAUCCACCACCUGGCCUCAUGCAGAUGGCCUCUCUGCUUACAGUUCUCUUCUCAUCAGGAGGAUGCCAUCAUUCCUUCAAAUAAACUGUCCACUGGACCCUUCCCCUUCCUUAGG